UACUUGACACAACUUUCAAUCAAAGCAUUCAUCGAGCUGAAAGAAGCCUCGUGCAACUUCCCUGAUUUAUGUUCAUUUCCAGAUGAUGAGGAAGCAGCUUUUCGGACAUCUGCUAAUUUCCUACCGUCUUCAACAGUCUCACAGUUCUCUUCUUCAGGAACAGUAGCAGGGGAUCCAUCCCCCUCAUCAGACCCAGUAAGCACCUCUUUGAAAUCAUUGCUUUGCCAUGACUCAUUAUUUACAUCAGACAAAAUAUUAGCUCGAUAAGCAUCAUUCUUUUCCUUCAAGUUACGAUCAAACUGGUCAUGCUUCUCCGAAAACACUGGAGAAGAAGCUCUACUAUUCAUGACUGAAGGGUCUUCAAAAGAUCCUCCACUGGCACUUUGUGCAGGGCUACGACCUCUGUUAGGUAUUUUAACAAUCAAUUUGUGAUUAUUACCCUCUCCCAAGGGAACAUCAACUGCCUUCUCACAUGUCAAACUGGAUUGAGAUAACUUUUCAGCGCCCUGGCUUCUGUGCAAGGAAGAAUUCCUACUUGACGCAGUUUCCCUUUGGAUCCCAGAUAAGGUUGGACCUUGGACGCCAUUGAGUGAUUUGCGAUGUCGAGAAGAACCACCAAUGGCUUUAUUUGCAGUCAUUGAAACAGCAGUUGAGCUCCUAGCGUCCUCCUUCCCAGAAACCCCCCCAGUUUUGGCAUGGUCGCUGGAACAAGAUUGACUAUUGUUGUGGGACUGACUAGAACUGCUGCUUUUCUCCUCCCUCAAAGAUAAGUUAGGAAUUUCAGAGGCACCACUUACACCAAUAUUACGGGUGUGUCCUUCUUUUAAGCUAUUACCAGCUGAUGCAGGAGAUGGCACUGAUUUCAUGGGUCCUAGAGAGGCAGAUGCAGACUUGGUUGUAGUCUCCCCCUGUACAAGCUUGACUGGAGCAUUUUUUGAAGCUGAAAGUUGUGCAG
rnacentral:misc_RNA from 1 species